AGGGGGAGCACAGGAUCCUGGGCUGUGUCCUCAGGUGCCCUUGGAUCUGGGGCCUGCGCUGCUGGAAUCGCUCUCCCGGGGCCAGGCAGCCCCCU
rnacentral:pre_miRNA from 1 species